GACGAACGCUGGCGGCGUGCUUAACACAUGCAAGUCGAGCGAUGAAGCUCCUUCGGGAGUGGAUUAGCGGCGGACGGGUGAGUAACACGUAGGUAACCUGCCUCAUAGAGGGGAAUAGCCUUUCGAAAGGAAGAUUAAUACCGCAUAAGAUUGUAGUAUCGCAUGAUACAGCAAUUAAAGGAGUAAUCCGCUAUGAGAUGGACCCGCGUCGCAUUAGCUAGUUGGUGAGGUAACGGCUCACCAAGGCGACGAUGCGUAGCCGACCUGAGAGGGUGAUCGGCCACAUUGGGACUGAGACACGGCCCAGACUCCUACGGGAGGCAGCAGUGGGGAAUAUUGCACAAUGGGGGAAACCCUGAUGCAGCAACGCCGCGUGAGUGAUGACGGUCUUCGGAUUGUAAAGCUCUGUCUUCAGGGACGAUAGUGACGGUACCUGAGGAGGAAGCCACGGCUAACUACGUGCCAGCAGCCGCAGUAA
rnacentral:rRNA from 1 species